rnacentral:rRNA from 1 species
GACGGAGGAUGCAAGCGUUAUCCGGAAUGAUUGGGCGUAAAGCGUCUGCAGGUGGCAGUUCAAGUCUGCUGUCAAAGACCGGGGCUUAACUUCGGAAAGGCCGUGGAAACUGAACAGCUAGAGUAUGGUAGGGGCAGAGGGAAUUCCUGGUGUAGCGGUGAAAUGCGUAGAGAUCAGGAAGAACACCGGCGGCGAAGGCGGCGACCUGGUUGGAUACUGACGCUGAGGCGCGAAAGCGUGGGGAGCAAACAGG